GGGGUAUAGGUUUUCGGACCUAGAGACCGGCGCACGGGUGCGUAACGCGUAUGCAAUCUACCUUUUACAGAGGGAUAGCCCAGAGAAAUUUGGAUUAAUACCUCAUAGUAUAACACAACUGCAUGGUUGAGUUAUUAAAGUCACAACGGUAAAAGAUGAGCAUGCGUCCCAUUAGCUAGUUGGUAAGGUAACGGCUUACCAAGGCAACGAUGGGUAGGGGUCCUGAGAGGGAGAUCCCCCACACUGGUACUGAGACACGGACCAGACUCCUACGGGAGGCAGCAGUGAGGAAUAUUGGUCAAUGGGCGCAAGCCUGAACCAGCCAUGCCGCGUGCAGGAUGAAGCAUCUAUGGUGUGUAAACUGCUUUUGUACAGGAAGAAACCCUGCCACGUGUGGCAGAUUGACGGUACUGUAAGAAUAAGGAUCGGCUAACUCCGUGCCAGCAGCCGCGGUAAUACGGAGGAUCCAAGCGUUAUCCGGAAUCAUUGGGUUUAAAGGGUCCGUAGGCGGUUUUGUAAGUCAGUGGUGAAAGCCCAUCGCUCAACGGUGGAACGGCCAUUGAUACUGCAAGACUUGAAUUAUUGUGAAGUAACUAGAAUAUGUAGUGUAGCGGUGAAAUGCUUAGAGAUUACAUGGAAUACCAAUUGCGAAGGCAGGUUACUAACAAUAUAUUGACGCUGAUGGACGAAAGCGUGGGGAGCGAACAGGAUUAGAUACCCUGGUAGUC
rnacentral:rRNA from 1 species